rnacentral:rRNA from 1 species
GACGAACGCUGGCGGCGUGCUUAACACAUGCAAGUCGAACGGAAAGGCCCGGCUUUUGUGGGGUGCUCGAGUGGCGAACGGGGGAGUAACACGUGAGUAACCUGCCCUUGACUUUGGGAUAACUUCAGGAAACUGGGGCUAAUACCGGAUAGGAGCUCCUGCUGCAUGGUGGGGGUUGGAAAGUUUCGGCGGUUGGGGAUGGACUCGCGGCUUAUCGGCUUGUUGGUGGGGUAGUGGCUUACCAAGGCUUUGACGGGUAGCCGGCCUGGGAGGUGGGACGGGCACAUUGGGACUAAGGUAGGGACCAGUAUCCUACGUGAGGCAGCAGGGGGGAAUAUUGCGCAAUGGGCGGGAGCCUGAUGCAGCGACGCCGCGUGCGGGAUAACGGCCUUCGGGUUAUAAACCGCUUUCGCCUGUGACGAAGCGUGAGUGACGGUAAUGGGUAAAGAAGCACCGGCUAACUACGUG